rnacentral:rRNA from 1 species
CUAAUACAUGCAAGUCGAACGGGGGUGCUUGCACCCCAGUGGCGAACGGGUGAGUAACACGUAUCUAACCUACCUCAUAGCGGGGGAUAACUUUUGGAAACGAAAGAUAAUACCGCAUGUGAAUCUUAUUAUCGCAUGAGAAAAGAUUGAAAGAACCUUUUGGUUCACUAUGAGAUGGGGAUGCGGCGUAUUAGUUAGUAGGUGAGGUAAUGGCUCACCUAGGCGAUGAUACGUAGCCGAACUGAGAGGUUGAUCGGC